GAGUUUGAUCAUGGCUCAGAUUGAACGCUGGCGGCAGGCCUAACACAUGCAAGUCGAGCGGUAGAGAGAAGCUUGCUUCUCUUGAGAGCGGCGGACGGGUGAGUAAUGCCUAGGAAUCUGCCUGGUAGUGGGGGAUAACGCUCGGAAACGGACGCUAAUACCGCAUACGUCCUACGGGAGAAAGCAGGGGACCUUCGGGCCUUGCGCUAUCAGAUGAGCCUAGGUCGGAUUAGCUAGUUGGUGAGGUAAUGGCUCACCAAGGCGACGAUCCGUAACUGGUCUGAGAGGAUGAUCAGUCACACUGGAACUGAGACACGGUCCAGACUCCUACGGGAGGCAGCAGUGGGGAAUAUUGGACAAUGGGCGAAAGCCUGAUCCAGCCAUGCCGCGUGUGUGAAGAAGGUCUUCGGAUUGUAAAGCACUUUAAGUUGGGAGGAAGGGCAGUAAUUAAUACUUUGCUGUUUUGACGUUUACCGACAGAAUAAGCACCGGCUAACUCUGUGCCAGCCC
rnacentral:rRNA from 1 species